rnacentral:rRNA from 1 species
CGGCGAGUGAAGCGGCAACAGCUCAAAUUUGAAAUCUGGCUCUCGGGCCCGAGUUGUAAUUUGUAGAGGAUGCUUUUGGUGAGGUGCCUUCCGAGUUCCCUGGAACGGGACGCCAUAGAGGGUGAGAGCCCCGUCUGGUUGGACGCCGAACCUCUGUAAAGCUCCUUCGACGAGUCGAGUAGUUUGGGAAUGCUGCUCUAAAUGGGAGGUAUAUGUCUUCUAAAGCUAAAUACCGGCCAGAGACCGAUAGCGCACAAGUAGAGUGAUCGAAAGAUGAAAAGAACUUUGAAAAGAGAGUUAAACAGUACGUGAAAUUGUUGAAAGGGAAGCGCUUGUGACCAGACUUGGGCUUGGUUGAUCAUCCGGGGUUCUCCCCGGUGCACUCUUCCGGCCCAGGCCAGCAUCAGUUCGCCCUGGGGGACAAAGGCUUCGGGAACGUGGCUCUCUCCGGGGAGUGUUAUAGCCCGUUGCGUAAUACCCUGUGGCGGACUGAGGUUCGCGCAUUCGCAAGGAUGCUGGCGUAAUGGUCAUCAGUGACCCGUCUUGAAACACGGACCAAGGAGUCGUCUUCGUAUGCGAGUGUUCGGGUGUCAAACCCCUACGCGAAAUGAAAGUGAACGCAGGUGAGAGCUUCGGCGCAUCAUCGACCGAUCCUGAUGUUAUCGGAUGGAUUUGAGUAAGAGCAUACGGGGCCGGACCCGAAAGAAGGUGAACUAUGCCUGUGUAGGGUGAAGCCAGAGGAAACUCUGGUGGAGGCUCGCAGCGGUUCUGACGUGCAAAUCGAUCGUCAAACAUGGGCAUGGGGGCGAAAGACUAAUCGAACCUCUAGAACU